rnacentral:rRNA from 1 species
UACGGGGGGGGCAAGCGUUGUUCGGAAUUACUGGGCGUAAAGGGCUCGUAGGCGGCCAACUAAGUCAGAUGUGAAAUCCCCAGGCUCAACCUGGGAACUGCAUCUGAUACUGGAUGGCUUGAAUCCGGGAGAGGGAUGCAGAAUUCCAGGUGUAGCGGUGAAAUGCGUAGAUAUCUGGAGGAAUACCGGUGGCGAAGGCGGUUCUCUGGGCCUGUUCUGACGCUGAGGAGCGAAAGCGUGGGGAGCGAACAGG